UUUUGAGAUGAAUACUUUCCAAGGUAUUUUUCUUCCGUACGUAUUUACAAGCUUAUAAUGAAACGAAUGAAAUCACGUUAGACGAGAUUGAAAAAGUUAUUGACGAAGCUGACAGAUUGUCUCUUCUUUCUCAUUUCUUUUGGGCAAUGUUUUCAAUUCUUCAGAGUUAUAAAUCCUCGAUCAAUUUUGGUUAUCUCGUAAGUAGAUGAACAGUUAAAUAGUGUUGUUUACCGUUAGAUUUACAUCACGUGACUGAAUUUGGCUUUUUCUUUGUUGUAUUGUCGUACCGUGGUAUUGUAUCCUAAACACCAUUUGCUAUUUUUAAAAUACCAUAUCUUAUAAGGAACAUUCUACAUCGAACAAUCUUAGAAAUGUGCACCACCACUUCAUCAACUUUUUGCAUUUAGUGUGCGUUAUUUCUUUACAAACAUUUGUGUAAAUGCAUGGUCUUUUGCACCAAGUUCUUUCCAUGUGGAUUUGUUUAGAACAGAUGUUAGUCAGCAAUAUUGUCUUAUGCGUAUGUAUCAAACUUGUACAUAAUGAGCGCUAUCAUUGUGAACAAACGUAAAAGCAACGUAA